AAUACCAAUUAUUAACCAUGUGCAUAACUACAAUAUCAUGUAGCAUGGAGCUGUCCGAUAAGUAGUCAGCUAGACGGAUACGUUUAGAAGGUUGCUUUCUAAGUAUAGUAAUAUAUUUAGAGAAGAGGUAAAACUCAAAACUGGAUAGUGUGCAAAUAUUAUCGCUUAAUAAAAUACUAGAGUUGUCGUAGUCGUAAUAGACGGCACAGUGUGCAAUAAGCCUGCAUCUCAUAUGUGGCAGUAUGAAGCAAUACAGGUAAUGCUAAACAAGACUAUUUCUCGUGAUGACAAAGAAAUUCGGAUAUAAGACAUAACUAGGUUAAAGUAGCCCAAGCGAGAUAAUAUGCAGAAAACAAUGAUAUAGGAAAUAUCAAGCAAAUUCUGAAUGAUGGGUGAAAUUUGCAAGUAGUCAAUCUUGCACGAGCUAGAAAGGGGUAAGAAGUUAUAAGGUCGCUACUUAUAGCUCAGACUUACUCUCUCGGUGAUUGAAUAAUUAAGAUAGAUAAGUAUUUGUAAGGGGAAACUCUAAUAAUAUAUAU
rnacentral:sRNA from 1 species